UUUUAUUGUGUUGACCAUUUGGAUUGACUUAUUUGAGUUUCUCAUUUGUUGUUGGGCCUUGGUCAAGGUUGAUUUGACUUUGUGAAGUUAUUAUUAUUGGAUUUAGGGGAUUGAUGGAAGAUACAUUCCAUCUCCCAAAAUGAAUGAAUAAUAUUAAUUUGGUAAAAGUCCUCCUUUGACCAAUUUGUGAUCUAUUUCAUCCCUUU
rnacentral:lncRNA from 1 species